rnacentral:rRNA from 1 species
CACAAGCGGUGGAUGAUGUGGAUUAAUUCGAUGCAACGCGAAAACCUUACCUACGCUUGACAUGUCAGGAACCUCGAAGAGAUUGAGGUGCCCGAAAGGAACCUGAACACAGGUGCUGCAUGGCUGUCGUCAGCUCGUGUCGUGAGAUGUUGGGUUAAGUCCCGCAACGAGCGCAACCCUUAUCAUUAGUUGCUACGCAAGGGCACUCUAAUGAGACUGCCGGUGACAAACCGGAGGAAGGUGGGGAUGACGUCAAGUCCUCAUGGCCCUUAUGCGUAGGGCUUCACACGUCAUACAAUGGUCGGUACAGAGGGUUGCCAACCCGCGAGGGGGAGCCAAUCCCACAAAGCCGGUCGUAGUCCGGAUCGCAGUCUGCAACUCGACUGCGUGAAGUCGGAAUCGCUAGUAAUCGCGGAUCAGCAUGUCGCGGUGAAUACGUUCCCGGGUCUU